rnacentral:rRNA from 1 species
UACAGAGGGUGCAAGCGUUGUUCGGAAUUAUUGGGCGUAAAGGGCGCGUAGGCGGUGCUGUAAGUCUGUGGUGAAAUCUCUGGGCUCAACUCAGGAAUUGCUUCGAAUACUGGCGUGCUUGAGGCUAGUAGGGGUCACUGGAACUGACGGUGGAGCGGUGAAAUGCGUAGAUAUCGUCAGGAACGCCGAUGGUGAAGACAGGUGACUGGGCUAGUUCUGACACUGAGGCACGAAAGCGUGGGGAGCGAACGGG